GACGGAAGGUGCAAGCGUUGCUCGGAAUCACUGGGCGUAAAGCGUGCGCAGGCGGUCCGCAAAGUCUGAUGUGAAAGCCCCGGGCUCAACCUGGGAACUGCAUUGGAAACUAACGGGCUCGAGUGUGGCAGAGGGGGGUGGAAUUCCACGUGUAGCAGUGAAAUGCGUAGAGAUGUGGAGGUACACCGAUGGCGAAGGCAGCCCCCUGGGCUAACACUGACGCUCAGGCACGAAAGCGUGGGGAGCAAACAGG
rnacentral:rRNA from 1 species